rnacentral:rRNA from 1 species
UACGGAGGGGGCUAGCGUUGUUCGGAAUUACUGGGCGUAAAGCGCACGUAGGCGGAUAUUUAAGUCAGGGGUGAAAUCCCGGGGCUUAACCCCGGAACUGCCUUUGAUACUGGGUAUCUGGAGGUCGAGAGAGGCGAGUGGAAUUCCGAGUGUAGAGGUGAAAUUCGUAGAUAUUCGGAGGAACACCAGUGGCGAAGGCGGCUCGCUGGCUCGAUACUGACGCUGAGGCACGAAAGCGUGGGGAGCAAACAGG